GGGUGGGUAGGGGAGUAGGGCAGAGGGAGGGUAUAGGGAACUUUCGGGAUAGCAUUUGAAAUGUAUAUAAAGAAAAUAUCUAAUAAAAAAUAAAUUAAAAAGAAAAGAAAUAGCAGUUGUUACAGAAUCUGGAGCCUGAGGAACCAUGGUGACAACAUGAGGACAAUGCCCAACACUCUCUAUCCGAAGGUCCCCUUCUUCCAAGGAGUCUUUCCUCGACCUCUUCUACCAUCCAGAGCUGUUGGGAGGCCUCAGUGCCACACUGGCCUCUCUCGGCCCCUCUGUGCAACCUUUCCCCAGUGACUGACAUCAGAUGCCUCACUGAUAAGAAUACUGGCCCGGGACACAUGAACUCUUGGAGUACAGGUUUGAAUUUGGG
rnacentral:lncRNA from 1 species